CCACCCGGCCAUAGUGAGCGGGCAACACCCGGACUCAUUUCGAACCCGGAAGUUAAGCCGCUCACGUUGGAAGGGCAGUGGGGCCCGAAAGGACCCGCAGCCCUUCCAAGCCGGGAUGG
rnacentral:rRNA from 1 species